AGAUUAUAUGGCCCUUGUGCAAGGAUGACACACACAUUCAUGAA
rnacentral:snRNA from 1 species